rfam:Xanthomonas fragariae strain PD5205 genome assembly, chromosome: 1
CGCGUUUUUCGCCCAGGCGGAGCUCGACCGCCGGGUGAAGUGAUGUAUGCGAUGGUGGAAGCGCACCGGAGCAGGUUCGGUGUCGAGCCGAUCUGCGAGGUGCUGCAGAUUGCCCCG